rnacentral:rRNA from 1 species
UGUACACACCGCCCGUCACAUCACGAAAGUGGAUUGUACUAGAAGUCCGCAGGCUGACCCGCAAGGGGAGUAGCGGCCCAAGGUAUGAUUCAUGAUUGGGGUGAAGUCGUAACAAGGUAGCCGUAGGAGAACCUGCGGCUGGAUCACCUCCUU